UCGUGAGGAUGUUGGGUUAAGUCCCGCAACGAGCGCAACCCUUGCUCAUAGUUGCCAGCGGUUCGGCCGGGCACUCUAUGGGGACUGCCGGUGAUAAACCGGAGGAAGGUGGGGAUGACGUCAAGUCCUCAUGGCCUUUAUGUCCAGGGCUACACACGUGCUACAAUGGACGGUACAAAGAGUUGCGAUCCCGCGAGGGGGAGCUAAUCUCAAAAAGCCGUUCUCAGUUCGGAUUACAGUCUGCAACUCGACUGUAUGAAGCUGGAAUCGCUAGUAAUCGCGGAUCAGCAUGCCGCGGUGAAUACGUUCCCGGGCCUU
rnacentral:rRNA from 1 species